rnacentral:rRNA from 1 species
UACGACUACAUAUCAGGCAUAUCAAUAAGCGGAGGAAAAGAAACUAACAAGGAUUCCCUUAGUAACGGCGAGUGAAGCGGGAAGAGCUCAAAUUUGAAAUCUUCAAGGUUCUACCUUGACGAAUUGUAGUUUAAAGAAGUGUUUUCUGUUGAAGUUUUGGUAAAAGUUCUUUGGAAUAGGACAUCAUAGAGGGUGAGAAUCCCGUAUUUGACCAUUAUUUUCCAGCUGUGUGAUACACUUUCAAAGAGUCGGAUUGUUUGGGAAUGCAGUCCAAAAUGGGUGGUAAAUUUCAUCUAAAGCUAAAUAUUGGCGAGAGACCGAUAGCGAACAAGUACCGUGAGGGAAAGAUGAAAAGAACUUUGAAAAGAGAGUUAAACAGUACGUGAAAUUGUCAAAAGGGAAGCGUUUGACACCAGUGUUGUUUUCUCGAAAAUCAAUUAAAAAGAGUUGGAUUUUGUGUUGUAUUGACCUUAUCAGCUUUCUGCACUCUUUUCCUGUCUUUUUUAAUGCACUUUUCGUUUAACAAGUCAACAUCAAUUUCUUUUGUUGUAAAAGGGUCAUUGGAAGGUGGCUUUCUCUUCGGAGAAAGUGUUUAUAGCCUUUGAUCUCUGCAAUCGGAGAGACUGAGGUCUGCAGCGUAGAUCCUUCGGGGUUAGAUACAUUUGUGCUAAGCUACAGCUUUUCAUAGACAACUUGUUGACUAUGAUUAGUCAUUGUAGCUUACUCCGCUUAUGCUAUUUUACCUACGCUUAGGAUGUUGAGCGCAUGUCUCUCUCU